rnacentral:misc_RNA from 1 species
CUACUUGAAACCUCUCAAGUGGCAACUCAAGACGCAGAGCUUCGUUAGUCAACUUCCCCUCUCCUCUCACCAUUUUGGCUCCAAAAGCAAAACGAGAUCUUACAAAUGCAGAAUGGAAUGGAUCUGAAUUCCUUCACAAGGAGGCGAUUAUCACCUUCCAAGUACACUGAUCAAGGCCCCGCCCAGCUCUUUGGGCCCCGACUUCGGAGAUUCGGAACCACUACGAUGACUCUCACCAAGAUCUUGGCAACCGGUUUGGUUGCUUUGCCUGUAUUAUUCACGCUCUCCAUGAUGCUUCGACACCAGCCGUAUGAUCGGUUACUGAGGUUGGCUGAAGCUAGAGUUCUCGAAAAAAGAACCCAACCAAAUGAUACAGGAGCGUUCUCAUCAUUAGGACUAGGACGUGGAUCAGAACAUGUUCUAUCACAACCUACUGAUAAAUCCAAUGACAAAUUGCUUGGUGGACUCCUUGCCGCUGGAUUUGAUGAAGCUUCUUGCACCAGUAGGUACCAAUCCUAUUUAUAUCGAAAGACUUCCCUCUAUCAGCCUUCUUCAUAUCUCAUUUCCCGACUCAGAAAUUAUGAGGAUCUUCAUAAACGUUGUGGACCUAAUACUGAGUCCUACUACAGAGCUCUUGAACAACUCAAGUCUGGCCAAACAGUUGGUUCUCCAGAUUGUAAAUAUGUUGUAUGGAUAUCUUUUAGUGGCUUGGGUAACAGGAUACUAUCCCUAGCUUCAACAUUUCUUUAUGCUCUUCUCACAAAUAGAGUCCUGCUUGUUGAUCGAGGUAAGGACAUGGCUGACCUCUUCUGUGAGCCGUUUCCAGAGAAAUCAUGGUUUCUGCCCAUGGAUUUCCCUUUCAUUGGUCAAUUUGAAAGCUUUGAUCAGAAAUCUUCUCAUUGUUAUGGGAAAAUGCUGAAGAAUAGUGUCUUAAAUGCUUCAGCAGAAUCGGUCCCAUCUUAUCUAUACCUCCACCUAGUUCAUGAUUAUGAUGAUCAUGAUAAGCUUUUCUUUUGUGAUGAAGAUCAAUCUCUUCUUGCAAAAGCCCCCUGGUUGAUUACAAAAACAGAUAACUACUUUGUCCCUUCUCUUUUCUUGAUCACUUCUUUUGAGCAAGAGCUAAGCAAAUUAUUUCCUGAAAAAGGAACCAUUUUCCAUCACCUGGGGCGGUACCUUUUCCACCCCUCAGAUCAUGUAUGGGGACUAAUCACAAGGUAUUAUCAAAUUUACUUGGCAAAGGCAGAUGAGAGCAUUGGCAUUCAAAUAAGAGUUUUUGAUUCAAGACCUGGUCCAUUUAAACAUGUGAUGGAUCAAAUUUUAGCCUGUACUCUGAAGGAGAAACUGUUGCCUGAGGUAGAUAUGCAAGACUCUGUUGUUACUCUUUCCGAAAACCCAAAAUUGAAAGCUGUUUUAGUGACAUCAUUAAAUUCAGGGUACUCUGAAAAUCUGAAGAACAUGUACUGGGAACACCCAACUUUGACUGGGGAAGUUGUUGGCAUUUACCAGCCAAGCCAUGAGGAGUAUCAACAAACGGAGAAGCAGAUGCACAACAGGAAGGCAUGGGCAGAAAUGUACCUCCUCAGUUUGACAGAUGCAUUGGUAACUAGUUCAUGGUCAACAUUUGGCUAUGUUGCACAAGGUCUUGGAGGUUUGAAGCCCUGGAUACUUUAUAAGCCUGAAAAUGAGACAGCCCCUGAUCCACCUUGUCACCGGGCAAUGUCAAUGGAACCUUGUUUUCAUGCUCCUCCCUUUUAUGAUUGCAGGGCUAAGAAAGGAACUGAUACAGGUGCGCUCGUUCCUCAUGUGAGACAUUGUGAGGAUAUGAGCUGGGGUCUAAAGGUGAUAGACAAUCACGAUGAAUUAUAGAAGCCAUUGUUAUUUUGUUAGUUCACCAAUUUUGCAUACAAGUUUAGACGUGAUACAUUAAAACUGGUGGCCCUUGAGCACUGUUUCCUGAACAAUGCAUGAACAGUCCUGAAUUCAGAGUGUUUUCUCUUUUGUUCUCCUCUCAUGGUAUGGGUGACCUGGCAAGAAAUUGUUGCGCCUGCUUUCCAGAAAGUGAUGGAGAAAUUUAGCGACCUAGAAUUUGAACCGUGAAGAUCUACGUGCCAAAGUCUCCGCGAUAUUGUUGUCUGCAAUAUAUGUUACAACAAAGAACAAAACUUGCAACAUACACACCAGAAAACUUGCUAAAUAUGUGACUACGUACUGGCAGAAUAAAGAGAAGAGUGAGCUAAUCAGAGUAGAGGAGGCAUGGACUGAGAUUUUUUGGGGGCCUGAACUCAGAUGGGGGAAGUCAAUGUUGGUAUCAAUGUUACAUGUGUUGUUCUGUGUGAUAAAAUAUUAAAGGUUGCUUUUAUAAAUAAUAAUGUUCUUUUUUCUUCUCUUUUAAUAGAAAAUCAUUUGAAAUUAACAGAAACUUUUCCUUUCAUCCAAUGCCAGUUAGCAGAAACAUUAGAAUUUAUCGUAUUAUUGAAUUCACAUAAUCAUGUAAACAUUACCAGCGGGUUAUAAUCUAGUACAUAUAAUUAUUUGAUGUGCAGGUCUGCAAUACUGAACGUAUAUAGGGAACUGUAUUGUAACGCUCACUCACUUGAGUACUGGUUAAGAAUGUCGUAAGCUAUGAAGAGUUGCAGAACUGAGAAUUCUCAUAGACAAGUAGUGUUGGAUAAAGGGGUUUAUUUCUUAUUGAGUUUGAGACCAUUUGACUAAUGGAGUACUAAAAUUGAAACUAGGGAAUGAAAGAGCUCAAAUAGCUUCUAAACAGAAUAUCAGAGAACUAAUUUGCAAAUGACAAGAUAUGUGCAAGUGUAAAAUGACUUUCGAUGAUGACCAAGAAAAAUGCAAAGUAAUACACGAUAUCCCCAGUGGUUGGGUGGGUAGCUCCACUGAUUAUUGCAACCAAUGCUAUUGAAGCUAAAGAAAAGCUAUUCCAAGCCACCUCUUUGUCCGCCCUGCACCCUAGCUGCCUUCUCUUCUUUCAGCCUGUUCAGAAUUUGACGUACGUUGGGAUCAUAGAAACGAGCACGAACAUACUUCCUCUCCUUGGCUUGAAUUUCCUUAAUGACACUAGGAUAUGGAUUAGGAGGUGGUCUUUUUCCCUGAGCACGGGCAAUUUGUUUCAAUCUUUUAUAUGCCUUCUCUUUUGCCUCCCUCUCUACCUCAUAUUCCAUAUUGGCUAACUCCUCAGCGUCCUUCUCUUUAAGUCCCCGCUCCAUCAACUCAAGCACCCGCAAACCAAAUACACGGGCUGGAGGGGGAUCAAAACCACAAAUCUUAAUGGCAUCUUCAUAUAUUGAAUGUGGAUUGCGCUCAAAGAACUUCUUUACAUAAGGAUCCUCCGGGAGAUGAAUUUUCUCAACUUUCCCAUCAGUGCGUGGAAAUGUUGCAGGCGGUGCCCUGAAUAAUGAAAUCAAGUGCACAGAUUAGGGGAAAAAAGAGGGGAUUUUUGCAGAAGCCAUAUAAUCCACUGACAAAACUAGAUAACCGUUUACAUCCAGAAAUCAAAAACUAAUAAAAUUUAAAACUAUAUCAGAAAAAGAAGGAAAGAAAUAGAGACUUGACUGUUCCAUGGCUUUGAGCCAAGCAGGCUCGGCUUUGGCCAAACCCUUGACGAGCUUCCUGGUUCUUGUCAGCAAAUCUCCUCUCAUGUAAGACAUGGCUACACCUCUGUUUUUU